AGAGUUUGAUCAUGGCUCAGAUUGAACGCUAGCGGCAUGCCUUACACAUGCAAGUCGAACGGCAGCGCGGGGGCAACCCUGGCGGCGAGUGGCGAACGGGUGAGUAAUGCAUCGGAACAUGCCCAUCGAUGGGGGAUAACUGCGCGAAAGCGUUGCUAAUACCGCAUACGACCUCAGGGUGAAAGCAGGGGACCGCAAGGCCUUGCGUCGAUGGAGUGGCCGAUGUCGGAUUAGCUAGUUGGUGGGGUAAAGGCUCACCAAGGCGACGAUCCGUAGCUGGUCUGAGAGGACGACCAGCCACACUGGGACUGAGACACGGCCCAGACUCCUACGGGAGGCAGCAGUGGGGAAUCUUGGACAAUGGGGGCAACCCUGAUCCAGCAAUGCCGCGUGUGGGAAGAAGGCCCUCGGGUUGUAAACCACUUUUGGCGGGGAAGAAAUUGUUCGUGCUAAUACCAUGGACGGAUGACGGUACCCGCAGAAUAAGCACCGGCUAACUACGUGCCAGCAGCCGCGGUAAUACGUAGGGUGCGAGCGUUAAUCGGAAUUACUGGGCGUAAAGCGUGCGCAGGCGGUUGGAAAAGAUUGAUGUGAAAGCCCCGGGCUCAACCUGGGAAUUGCAUUGAUGACUGUCCGACUAGGGUACGGUAGAGGGGAGUGGAAUUCCGCGUGUAGCAGUGAAAUGCGUAGAUAUGCGGAGGAACACCGAUGGCGAAAGCAGCUCCCUGGACCUGUACUGACGCUCAUGCACGAAAGCGUGGGAGCAAACAGGAUUAGAUACCCUGGUAGUCCACGCCCUAAACGAUGUCAACUGGUUGUUGGACGGGCAACUGUUCAGUAACGAAGCUAACGCGUGAAGUUGACCGCCUGGGGAGUACGGCCGCAAGGUUAAAACUCAAAGGAAUUGACGG
rnacentral:rRNA from 1 species